UGGCCGUAAACGUCACGACGGCUCCGGUCGGAGGACCAACUGCAAGCGCAGAAGAAAAGACACCAACAGGGAACCACGCUCCGUGCCGUUGUCUGUAGAGCCAAGCAGGCAUGCGCCUACACCUCAGGUGACCCUCUACAUCCAGGGCAACGAAAGCACAUCCAGGUACAGAGUGGGAAGCACCGGAGCUGUCGCGUUGACGCCCCUGGAGCUGCCAUCUGGUGGCAGCGUUAGAGACAUACUCUUCUUCACCACUAAUUAAACUGGUUUUACGUAACGAGUUCCAGCCCGAGAGCAGCAAAAGCUUAUAAAUUGUUUUACUAAAAUAUUUUUUUAUUUUAAUUGUUAUCUUUAGAACAAUCGCGAGAAUAAACCAUUUAAAAUAA